UUUUGACCUCGGAUGCAGGUUAGGGAUACCCCGCUGAACUUAAGCAUAUCAAAA
rnacentral:rRNA from 1 species